GACGAACGCUGGCGGCGUGCUUAACACAUGCAAGUCGAACGGGAUCCACUGGGCUUUUGUUUGGCGGUGAGAGUGGCGAACGGGUGAGUAAUGCGUGACUAACCUGCCGUAUGGUUGGGGAUAGCUCCUGGAAACGGGUGGUAAUACCCAAUGCUCCAGCUGGAUGCAUGUCUGGUUGGGAAAGCUUUUGUGCCAUAUGAUGGGGUCGCGUCCUAUCAGCUUGUUGGUGGGGUGAUGGCCUACCAAGGCGUCGACGGGUAGCCGGCCUAAGAGGGCGACCGGCCACAUUGGGACUGAGAUACGGCCCAGACUCCUACGGGAGGCAGCAGUGGGGAAUAUUGCACAAUGGGCGCAAGCCUGAUGCAGCGACGCCGCGUGCGGGAUGGAGGCCUUCGGGUUGUAAACCGCUUUUAUAGGGGGGCAAGCUAUGCCUGUGUGGUGUGGUGAGUGGACUUUAUGAAUAAGCACCGGCUAA
rnacentral:rRNA from 1 species